rnacentral:rRNA from 1 species
GAAUUCGCCCUUAGAGUUUGAUCCUGGCUCAGGAUGAACGCUGGCGGCGUGCUUAACACAUGCAAGUCGAACGAAGCACUUUACCUUGAUUCCUUCGGGUUGAUUGGUACUGUGACUGAGUGGCGGACGGGUGAGUAACGCGUGGGUAACCUGCCCCAUACAGGGGGAUAACAGAUAGAAAUGUCUGCUAAUACCGCAUAAGACCACAGCGCCGCAUGGCGCAGGGGUAAAAACUCCGGUGGUAUGGGAUGGAUCCGCGUCUGAUUAGCUAGUUGGUGGGGUAAAGGCCCACCAAGGCGACGAUCAGUAGCCGACCUGAGAGGGUGACCGGCCACAUUGGGACUGAGACACGGCCCAAACUCCUACGGGAGGCAGCAGUGGGGAAUAUUGCACAAUGGGGGAAACCCUGAUGCAGCGACGCCGCGUGAAGGAUGAAGUAUUUCGGUAUGUAAACUUCUACCAGCAGGGAAGAAAAUGACGGUACCUGACUAAGAAGCCCCGGCUAACUACGUGCCAGCAGCCGCGGUAAUACGUAGGGGGCAAGCGUUAUCCGGAUUUACUGGGUGUAAAGGGAGCGUAGACGGCAUGGCAAGUCUGAUGUGAAAACCCGGGGCUCAACCCCGGGACUGCAUUGGAAACUGUCAGGCUAGAGUGUCGGAGAGGCAAGUGGAAUUCCUAGUGUAGCGGUGAAAUGCGUAGAUAUUGGGAGGAACACCAGUGGCGAAGGCGGUCUGCUGGACAGCAACUGACGGUGAGGCGCGAAAGCGUGGGGAGCAAACAGGAUUAGAUACCCUGGUAGUCCACGCUGUAAACGAUGGAUACUAGGUGUGCGGGGACUGACCCCCUGCGUGCCGCAGCUAACGCAAUAAGUAUCCCACCUGGGGAGUACGAUCGCAAGGUUGAAACUCAAAGGAAUUGACGGGGGCCCGCACAAGCGGUGGAUUAUGUGGUUUAAUUCGAUGCAACGCGAAGAACCUUACCAGGGCUUGACAUCCUACUAACGAAGUAGAGAUACAUUAGGUACCCUUCGGGGGAAGUAGAGACAGGUGGUGCAUGGUUGUCGUCAGCUCGUGUCGUGAGAUGUUGGGUUAAGUCCCGCAACGAGCGCAACCCUUAUUGUUAGUUGCUACGCAAGAGCACUCUAGCGAGACUGCCGUUGACAAAACGGUGGAAGGUGGGGACGACGUCAAAUCAUCAUGCCCCUUAUGUCCUGGGCUACACACGUAAUACAAUGGCGGUCAACAGAGGGAUGCAAAGCUGUGAAGUGGAGCGAACCCCUAAAAGCCGUCCCAGUUCAGAUUGCAGUCUGCAACUCGACUGCAUGAAGCUGGAAUCGCUAGUAAUCGCGAAUCAGAAUGUCGCGGUGAAUACGUUCCCGGGUCUUGCACACACCGCCCGUCA